GGAGAGCUGGGGAUCACACCAUGCUGGGUGGGGGGUGCAGGAGAAGAGGAUUGGUUCACAGAGCUAUACAUCCUGCAUCAAACAGCAGCUCAAUUUUGAACCUGGUAUUACCAAGAGCAGUGGUUCUUAGAGUUCAGUGUCCCUCUCAGCUGCAACACCAGGAACUUGAGAGAAAAGCAAAUUCCCUGGCCUCACCCAGAUCUGCUGAAUCAGAAACUCUGCAGUCAACUCUACAGACUUAGUCCUGACAUCCUGACUGAUGCUCAGAUGCUAAAGGUGGUGGAGGCCCCACAUGGAUGAGACCGUUAGCAAAUUACACCUCGCUGGGUCUGUCUUUCCAGAAUCUAGUAGAUUACAAAACACUUCAAUGGUUUCAGCGUGGCUGUUGGCUCUUCCCUUCUAUGGAUUCAAUCCUGUGAAAAGUGUGAAGCCAUGGAUCCUUCAAGCUAUA